rnacentral:tRNA from 1 species
CCUUUGAUAGCUCAGUUGGUAGAGCGGAGGACUGUAGAUGCUCUGUCCAGCAAUCCUUAGGUCGCUGGCUCAAAUCCGGCUCACAGGA